AAGUCGUAACAAGGUUUCCGUAGGUCAACCUGCGGAAGGAUCAUUAACACGUAUCCAAACGUUAAAACCCCCCCCGUGAGCCUUCAUCCUGCUCUUGUAACCCGCGUAGUUCGCAAUCUCUGAUAAAUCAUAGCCCGGAAAGUUGUAGUGAUUCAGAGACCUCUGGCUACGUGCGAACAUUGGAACAGUUAAAAUCGAGCGGUACCCAAUGUAUUACAUUGAGCUUCACAUUAAAGUGUGGCGUUAUUGGGGGGCAUGGGGACCCUUUGGCAAAGCUCCUGCCCGAGUGUACGGUCUACAGGAAUCGUAGAAGCGCUAUCCUUGCACAAUCAAUGACACUUUCCGACACGGACUGCUUGGGGAAAUAUUGUAAAAAAACCGAACAACUGUUAACAAUGGAUAUCUUGGUUCUC
rnacentral:misc_RNA from 1 species